rnacentral:rRNA from 1 species
UACAGAGGUCCCAAGCGUUGUUCGGAUUCACUGGGCGUAAAGGGCGCGUAGGCGGUGCGGUAAGUCACCUGUGAAACCUCUAGGCUCAACCUAGAGCCUGCAGGCGAAACUGCCGUGCUUGAGGGUGGGAGAGGUGCGUGGAAUUCCCGGUGUAGCGGUGAAAUGCGUAGAUAUCUGGAGGAACACCGGUGGCGAAGGCGGCAUCCUGGACCAAUUCUGACGCUGAGGAGCGAAAGCCAGGGGAGCAAACGGG